rnacentral:rRNA from 1 species
UGCGGUCUAUACAUGCAAGUCGAGCGGACAGAUGGGAGCUUGCUCCCUGAUGUUAGCGGCGGACGGGUGAGUAACACGUGGGUAACCUGCCUGUAAGACUGGGAUAACUCCGGGAAACCGGGGCUAAUACCGGAUGGUUGUUUGAACCGCAUGGUUCAAACAUAAAAGGUGGCUUCGGCUACCACUUACAGAUGGACCCGCGGCGCAUUAGCUAGUUGGUGAGGUAACGGCUCACCAAGGCAACGAUGCGUAGCCGACCUGAGAGGGUGAUCGGCCACACUGGGACUGAGACACGGCCCAGACUCCUACGGGAGGCAGCAGUAGGGAAUCUUCCGCAAUGGACGAAAGUCUGACGGAGCAACGCCGCGUGAGUGAUGAAGGUUUUCGGAUCGUAAAGCUCUGUUGUUAGGGAAGAACAAGUACCGUUCGAAUAGGGCGGUACCUUGACGGUACCUAACCAGAAAGCCACGGCUAACUACGUGCCACCAGCCGCGGUAAUACGUAGGUGGCAAGCGUUGUCCGGAAUUAUUGGGCGUAAAGGGCUCGCAGGCGGUUUCUUAAGUCUGAUGUGAAACCCCCGGCUCAACCGGGGAGGGUCAUUGGAAACUGGGGAACUUGAGUGCAAAGAGGAGAGUGGAAUUCCACGUGUAGCGGUGACAUGCGUAGAGAUGUGGAGGAACA